rnacentral:rRNA from 1 species
CUAGCUGUAAACGUUGGGUACUAGGUAAUGGGGGGUAUAAACCCUCAGUGCCGAAGCAAACGCGUUAAGUACCCCGCCUGGGGACUACGACCGCAAGGUUAAAACUCAAAGGAAUUGACGGGAGCCCGCACAAGCAGCGGAGCGUGUGGUUUAAUUCGAUGCAACGCGAAGAACCUUACCUGGGUUUGACAUGUAUGUGGUAGGAAAGCGAAAGCGGACCGACCCGUGAGGGAGCAUACACAGGUGC